rnacentral:lncRNA from 1 species
GUGACAUUUAAAUAGGGUGGUCAGGGGAGGCCUCUCUGAGAAGGUGACAUGUAGGCACAGUCUUCCCAGACAGGGAAUGUUUAGGCAAACUCCUUACCCUUCUGGACUCUUAAAAAUAUACAAUAAUAAGAAGAAAUCUAUUUAGCAUGCUUACUCGGCACCCUUGGAAGUUCUUUACAUGCAUGAAAUCCAUUUAAUCCCCAUCACACUAUGAGACAGAUGCUCUUAUUAAGCCCAUUUUACAUAGUGAAAAACAGAGGCAGAGAAAAGUGAAGUUUGCCCGAGGUCACACAGUUAACAGCUCAGGCAGGCAGGUGGAGUUUCUUUGCCAGCCCUGAACGGGGUGGUCUUGAACGGAGCUCUUAGGUCCUUCCCGGUUCCAACAAGGAGAAUCGAGAGGAAGCGUUUCUGUGAGCGUUGCCCUUGACACAUGAUUUAUCUGUGUAGCUUGUUCUCGGUGCUUCCAUUUUUCUGUCUCCAAAAUCGAGUGACUGAGUGCUGUUCAAACAUCUGUUUCUGAAGCGUCAAGCAGGACUUUUUAGAGGAUACACAAAUGUGGCAUUAGAUGCGAACCCAGACCUAAGAAACGGAUCUUCGCUUUGGACAGAAAGAAGCAAACUCAUUAAAAAGCUGGAUGGGGCUCAGUGCAAACUCAGACCGGAUCCUCCAAAUGAGGACGCAAGUAUUUUAAUAGUCUGUCAAGAACGUGAAAGCCCCUCCAGGGGAUGUGCUAGACCCCAAGCUGCCAGAAUGGACUCAGCGACUCUGCUUUGGAGACAUAGGGGAGAAACAAGACGACUCUGACAUGAGAACAGUCUUGCAGAAAAACUGGUCUCUAGCAGCAUCUGACCCCCAACUCACACAUCUGCUGCUCUUCUUUCAAAAAAAGGGGGUAAAGUGAAAACAGGUUUUUCUUGUAGGGGAAUAUCCAAGCAGCCAUGACCAUGGGUGGCCAUGGUUUUGCUUGAGCUUCAGACAAGUGGGUGUGAUUGUUGAGGGAAUUCUGCUUUAAGAAAACACUCUUCACAAAGAUGUUAAUUCACAAAAUAAAG